rnacentral:rRNA from 1 species
GUCCAGACUCCUACGGGAGGCAGCAGUUAGGAAUAUUCGUCAAUGGGGGAAACCCUGAACGAGCAAUGCCGCGUGAACGAUGAAGGCCCUAUGGGUUGUAAAGUUCUGUUGUUUGGAACGAAUAGCUAAAUGAGGAAAUGCAUUUAGUCUGACGGUACCAUUCAAGAAAGCCACGGCUAACUACGUGCCAGCAGCCGCGGUAAUACGUAGGUGGCGAGCGUUAUCCGGAUUUAUUGGGCGUAAAGUGUGCGCAGGCGGUUUGUUAAGUCUAAAAUAAAAGCCCGAAGCUUAACUUCGGUUCGUUUUAGAAACUGGCAGGCUUGAGUAUGGUAGAGGCAAACGGAAUUUCUAGUGUAGCAGUAAAAUGCGUAGAUAUUAGAAGGAACACCAGUGGCGAAGGCGGUUUGCUGGGCCAUUACUGACGCUCAUGCACGAAAGCGUGGGGAGCAAAUAGGAUUAGAUACCCCGGUA